rnacentral:rRNA from 1 species
AGGCAGCAGCGAAGAAUAGUCUACAAUGGUCGCAAGAAUGAUAGUGCGACGCCGCGUGAACGAGGAAGCCCUUCGGGGUGUAAAGUUCUUUUAUAUGUGAGCAGUGGUUUCUAUGUAAACAGCAUGGGGACAGAGAUAUUAGCAUAUGAAUAAGCAACGGCUAACUCCGUGCCAGCAGCCGCGGUAAU